rnacentral:lncRNA from 1 species
UAGCGUUCCAAGAGAGGAAACAAAAAGGACUGCCAUUCAGUCCAGGAACAGACUGAGAUUCCCUCUACUGAUGGACAUUGCAUAGCUCCAGUUGGAGAGGUUUCUCCCUCCAUAUCUCAGCCUGUCAAAAAACGAUCCUUGAUUGUCAGGGUCUUUUCAGCAAUGAUGAAGCCAUUCAGGCGCUUCACCAAGAAGAACCUGUAACCUGUUACGCUGCAUGAGGAACUACUUUUGUAACAGCAAGACUUUUGACAAGAGGAAUUUCUGCAUGUCUACCCUUUCAAAGUAUAUUUGAUCAAAUAAAUGGCAAUGAUUUUACAAGAAUUUCAAGUGUUUUGGAAGAUUAGUAAAACUGAAGCAGCUUUUCUCAGAGAAAUGCACUAGUUCCCCCUUGGUUAUACAUUUAUUGUGCAGUUUUUGAGUUGGCAGAACUUGGGGCAGCAGGU